AACGAACGCUGGCGGCAGGCUUAACACAUGCAAGUCGAACGCAUCCUUCGGGGUGAGUGGCAGACGGGUGAGUAACGCGUGGGAACGUGCCCUUCAGUUCGGGAUAACCCAGGGAAACUUGGGCUAAUACCGGAUACGUGCGAGAGCAGAAAGAUUUAUCGCUGAAGGAUCGGCCCGCGUCUGAUUAGCUAGUUGGUGGGGUAAUGGCCCACCAAGGCGACGAUCAGUAGCUGGUCUGAGAGGAUGAUCAGCCACAUUGGGACUGAGACACGGCCGAAACUCCUACGGGAGGCAGCAGUGGGGAAUAUUGGACAAUGGGCGCAAGCCUGAUCCAGCCAUGCCGCGUGAGUGAUGAAGGGCUUAGGGUUGUAAAGCUCUUUCGUCCGGGACGAUAAUGACGGUACCGGAAGAAGAAGCCCCGGCUAACUUCGUGCCAGCAGCCGCCGAAA
rnacentral:rRNA from 1 species